rnacentral:tRNA from 1 species
GCUCCAAUGGCGCAAUGGUAGCGCGCAAGACUUCUAAUCUUGAGGUUGAGGGUUCGAGCCCCUCUUGGAGUG